CUUUCGAAUUGGAAUGGACAGAAGUGUGAAAUUUGGAGGUUUCGUUCCAUUUACCAACUACUCUACAUUAAAAAAAAAAUUCAAGUUCUUAGGCAACUCCAACACAAAGAUAUGGAGGUGUGAAAAAUACCCUGAGUUGCUUCCAGAAAAGAAUGGUACGGCCGUGCUGCUCGACUUGGCGGCGGCACUGCCGUGCCUCCAGAUUCUUCAAAAUUAGUUGUAAUAAAAAUAAAAUACCGAUCACCUUUAGAUCCCGAAAACAAUUUACGGCUUCCGUCUCAAAUAUUAAACCAAAUAUGGAAGAAAUUCAUGGAAGCAAUUCAUGAAAGCAU
rnacentral:lncRNA from 1 species